UACGGAGGGUGCGAGCGUUGUCCGGAAUUACUGGGCGUAAAGGGCGCGUAGGUGGCGCGGGCAGUCAACGGUGAAAGUUCGGGGCUCAACCCUGAAUCGGCCGUCGAUACUCCCGUGCUUGAGCACUGUAGAGGCAGAUGGAAUUCCGGGUGUAGCGGUGGAAUGCGUAGAGAUCCGGAAGAACACCGGUGGCGAAGGCGGUCUGCUGGGCAGUAGCUGACACUGAGGCGCGACAGCGUGGGGAGCAAACAGG
rnacentral:rRNA from 1 species